rnacentral:rRNA from 1 species
GAUGAACGCUGGCGGCGUGCCUAAUACAUGCAAGUCGAGCGAACAGACGAGGAGCUUGCUUCUCUGACGUUAGCGGCGGACGGGUGAGUAACACGUGGAUAACCUACCUAUAAGACUGGGAUAACUUCGGGAAACCGGCGCUAAUACCGGAUAAUAUUUUGAACCGCAUGGUUCAAUAGUGAAAGACGGUGUUGCUGUCACUUAUAGAUGGAUCCGCGCUGCAUUAGCUAGUUGGUAAGGUAACGGCUUACCAAGGCAACGAUGCGUAGCCGACCUGAGAGGGUGAUCGGCGACACUGGAACUGAGACACGGUCCAGACUCCUACGGGAGGCAGCAGUAGGGAAUCGUCCGCAAUGGGCGAAAGCCUGACGGAGCAACGCCGCGUGAGUGAUGAAGGUCUUCGGAUCGUAAAACUCUGUUAUUAGGGAAGAACAUAUGUGUAAGUAACUGUGCACGUCUUGACGGUACCUAAUCAGAAAGCCACGGCUAACUACGUG